UUGGCGCCGACAUCAAAUUGAAAGAAGAGAGAGCAAGAAAAAAUAGAGAUACACAGAUUUAGCUGUCUCUAUUUUUUCUUCUCUACUCUUCUCUCAAUUACGAUGGCGAAACAGCUCUGUAUUAUGCCUCUCAGGCAGAAAAUGGUGAUGAACACAGAAGCCUGCUUUUGUUUGCUUCUACUAAAAGGCAGUCAAGUGUGGAUAACAGUAUUCAAUGCUUUCUUGAUCAAUCGGCAAAAUUUUUGCCCAUGAGAUUGAUGGAAGGCGGGCGAAAGUUUUUGUCGAACCUUUUGGCGGUGCUGGAUCAGGGAGAAAUUGAGAAGGAUUUUUGAUUCACAGAUUCCAGAGGAGCUGCGGAAACAGAGUGGGUGUGUGUAUGAGGCCUCUGUAUUAUGAAGAAAUUGGAAUCCGAUGAACACAAAAGCCUGCUUUUGUUUGCUUCUGCUGUUGGAAUCGGUUCUGCAGAAAAAUGUUUAAGCUCCAAUUCUAAUAUCAAGAAAUUUCUUUAGAGCACAAGUGGUGAAAUAAUGCAAGCACCAAGGAAGGAGAAUUUGCUUAGGGUUGCAGCAUCGUUAGGCAACGCAGAUAUGACGAGGGAGCAAGCAUGGAUCUCAUUCCAAGUGAGAAAUGGAUAGCCGGUCUCUCACCAGAGAGAAAAAAAAUGUCGAAGAUGUUCGCAAGAUGCCUCCUGCAUUCAAGGAUAGUAGUCUUUGUUGACGAUCUUGAUCGUGGCCAAGAAAAUGUG